GAUGAAGAACGUAGCAAAAUGCGAUAAGUAUUGUGAAUUGCAGAAUUCAGUGAAUCAUCGAAUCUUUGAACGCACAUUGCGCCCGCUGGUAUUCCGGCGGGCAUGCCUGUUCGAGCGUCAUUUCAACCCUCAAACCCCCGGGUUUGGUGUUGGGGAUCGGCUCUGCCUCACGGCGGUGCCGCCCCCGAAAUACAUUGGCGGUCUCGCUGCAGCCUCCAUUGCGUAGUAGCUAACACCUCGCAACUGGAACGCGGCGCGGCCAUGCCGUAAAACCCCAACUUCUGAAUGUUGACCUCGGAUCAGGUAGGAAUACCCGCUGAACUUAAGCAUAUCAAUAAGCGGAGGA
rnacentral:misc_RNA from 1 species